GGCGGAUGUCAGCGGUUCGAGUCCGCUUAUCUCC
rnacentral:tRNA from 1 species